rnacentral:rRNA from 1 species
GACGAACGCUGGCGGCGUGCUUAACACAUGCAAGUCGAACGGAAAGGCCCUGCUUUUGUGGGGUGCUCGAGUGGCGAACGGGUGAGUAACACGUGAGUAACCUGCCCUUGACUUUGGGAUAACUUCAGGACACUUGGGCUAAUACCGGAAAGGAGCUCCUGCUGUAUGGUGGGGGUUGGAAAGUUUCGGCGGUUGGGGCUGGACUCGCGGCUUAUCAGCUUGUUGGUGGGGUAGUGGCUUACCAAGGCUUUGACGGGUAGCCGGCCUGAGCGGGUGACUGGACAAAUUGGGACAGAGAUACGGCCCAGACUCCUACGGGAGGGAGCAGUGGGGAAUAUUGUACUAUGGGCGGAAGCCUAAUGCAGCAACGCAGCGUGCGGGAUGACGGCCUUCGGGUAGUAUUGCGCUUUCGCCUGUGACGAAGCGUGAGUGACGGUAAUGGGUAAAGAAGCACCGGCUAACUACGUG